ACAACACCCAGCACCUAUCAACAUCUAAUGAUUAUGUCUGGGCUUGUGGGCUAGUAGCAUGGCCCAACACAUGGACAUUCUGGUACAUAUAUAAUUCAGAAAGCAAAAAUGUUUCUAUGUGGCCCAAUUCGAGUGUUCAAUCGUUUAUAAUCAAGUUCCACGCAAUGUUACAAGAGACUGACUUGGGGCGACAAUACAGUUUCCACCAUGAA